UUAAAACCACUGAGGGACCUAAUUUAUACUGGUUUUGUAAGUUUGGAGAUGCGUUAUAUCCGGUUUUGCGGUUGGGGGAUGAUUUUGUAACUGGAUGAUAAGUUGAGGGACCUUCGGUGUACUUUUUCCCUCAUGAAAUGUUGAUUUAGGAAAAAGUACACCCAAUAUCUCUCAACUUGUCAGUGAGAUAAAAACGUCCUCGAACCGCAAAACCAGAUAUAUAGGGUCCCUUAACUAUACAAAACCGGUCACCCGAGAUCUUUCGGUGGUUUUGA
rnacentral:misc_RNA from 1 species